rnacentral:rRNA from 1 species
GAUGAACGCUAGCGGGAGGCUUAACACAUGCAAGUCGAGGGGCAUCACGAGGUAGCAAUACUUUGGUGGCGACCGGCGCACGGGUGAGUAACGCGUAUGCAUCCUACCCUGUACAGGGGGAUAGCCCGGAGAAAUUCGGAUUAAUACCCCAUAAAGAUAUCGAGAGGCAUCUUUUGAUAUUUAAAGUUUCGACGGUACGGGAUGGGCAUGCGUAACAUUAGCUAGUUGGUAGGGUAACGGCCUACCAAGGCGACGAUGUUUAGGGGUCCUGAGAGGGUGAUCCCCCACACUGGUACUGAGACACGGACCAGACUCCUACGGGAGGCAGCAGUAAGGAAUAUUGGUCAAUGGGCGCAAGCCUGAACCAGCCAUGCCGCGUGAAGGAAGAAGGCCUUAUGGGUCGUAAACUUCUUUUAUAAGGGAAAAAACUGGGGUACGUGUACCUCAUUGCUUGUACCUUAUGAAUAAGCAUCGGCUAACUCCGUGCCAGCCGCCGCGGUAAAAC